UCCGGUUGAUCCUGCCGGAGGCUACCGCUAUUGGAGUUCGAUUAAGCCAUGCGAGUCGCGAGUCUUAGGGACUCGGCGUACCGCUCAGUAACACGUGGGUAACCUGCCCUAUGCUGGGGGAUAACCUCGGGAAACUGAGAAUAAUACCCCAUAGUUCACCACGCCUGGAACGGUGGGUGGACCAAAGCUCCGGCGGCAUAGGAUGGGCCUGCGGCGUAUCAGGUUGUAGGGGGUGUAAUGUACCCUCUAGCCCUCUACGCGUACGGGCUCUGAGAGGAGAAGCCCGGAGAUGGGUACUGAGACACGGACCCAGGCCCUAUGGGGCGCAGCAGGCGAGAAAACUUUGCAAUGUGCGAAAGCACGACAAGGUUAAUCCGAGUGAUUUCUGCUAAAGAAAUCUUUUGCCAGUCAUAAAACCACUGGUGAAUAAGGGGUGGGCAAGUUCUGGUGUCAGCCGCCGCGGUAAAACCAGCACCUCAAGUGGUCAGGAUGAUUAUUGGGCCUAAAGCAUCCGUAGCCGGCUUUGUUAGUUUUCGGUUAAAUCCAUGUGCUCAACGCAUGGGCUGCCGAAAAUACUGCAUGGCUAGGGAGUGGGAGAGGUAGACGGUACUCAGUAGGAAGGGGUAAAAUCCUUUGAUCUAUUGAUGACCACCUGUGGCGAAGGCGGUCUACCAGAACACGUUCGACGGUGAGGGAUGAAAGCUGGGGGAGCAAACCGGAUUAGAUACCCGGGUAGUCCCAGCUGUAAACGAUGCAGACUCGAUGAUGCAUUGGCAUAAUAGCCAGUGCAGUGUCGCAGGGAAGCCGUUAAGUCUGCCGCCUGGGAAGUACGUACGCAAGUAUGAAACUUAAAGGAAUUGGCGGGGGAGCACCACAAGGGGUGAAGCCUGCGGUUCAAUUGGAGUCAACGCCGGA
rnacentral:rRNA from 1 species